CUCUAAUGAGACUGCCGGUGACAAACCGGAGGAAGGUGGGGAUGACGUCAGGUCAUCAUGGCCCUUAUGGGUAGGGCUACACACGUCAUACAAUGGCCGGGACAGAGGGCUGCCAACCCGCGAGGGGGAGCUAAUCCCAGAAACCCGGUCGUAGUCCGGAUCGUAGUCUGCAACUCGACUGCGUGAAGUCGGAAUCGCUAGUAAUCGCGGAUCAGCUUGCCGCGGUGAAUACGUUCCCGGGUCUU
rnacentral:rRNA from 1 species